rnacentral:piRNA from 1 species
UGAAUCCUGCGUGCUGUACAAAAAGAUGGC